AGGACCUGGAAAAGAAAGAACCAUAAACUCAAAACACAAACAUAUGUACAACUUAAUAUUUUAUUCAUUCCUGAUGUGGAACAAUUCUUGAGAGUUUUCAUUAUUAAGUGACUUGUCCCUCAGUGAGGACCUACAGAAGAGCAUUUCCUAGCCCCUUACCCAUUUGUGAUUCUGCUCUCCCAGCCCUUGCACCUUUACCUCACAGCUACAAGAGCAAACGCGGAGCUUUCCCCACGCACCAGGCAUCGGACUCUCAUUUACUUCUUGCCCACUGCAGGAGACUAAGCUCAUGUGCCUCCCAUCACUCAGAUCAUCAGAGGUGUGCUGAGUUCUGUUACCAAGGUCCUGUGAAGAGUAAUGCUACACAUUAAGAACAUAUUCUGGACAGAAUGGCCAUCUGUUUUGAUAUCCAUCCUGGGAUCCCAGAAUCCUUGCAUCCUGCCAACAAUGUCUAAUGCUUGAGUCCUAUUGGCUUCAGAUGAGAAAGAGAGAGAGAAGUGCAAAGAAAUUAUCAUUCAAAGGUCAAUUCUAAAGUGGUAAGUAAGUUCCUAUAGAGUUCGCUUCAAUUGCUCCUAAAACAUUGCACAUGACUUCAUGACCCUUUUCUGAAGAAGCCACCACUGUUCUUGCAGCAUUGCAUACCAACGUCCACCAGAUGGUAGUACUUCUCAUGAGUCAGGAAUACAGAACAAUAUUUUGGGGGAAAAAUAAAGCACACGUAGAGGAUAAAUAUCUUAAUUUAAAAACUACAGAAGUAAAAUCAAUAUUAAGUAGAGGAUUAAACCUGCUAUGUCUCAAGUAUCUUAAUGAAAGAAAGGUAGAAUUUUAACCAUGGGCACACUGGUCGGUCUGAAGCAAGGUAAUAACUAAAGUGUUUUUAAGUGUCAACUGUAAGACUUAGAAAAGGUGAGGUGUAAUUGAUGGAAACCAUUUGGAUUUCACUGUGUACUUUCAGAAUGUUCCUUUAUCAGAUUUUUCAAUGAUCGAUUAUUUCACACAUGUUAGCCAAGGGAAAGACAAUCAUUCACAAACACAAUGCUUUUAGAUUACUGAUUAAUAGCAUUAAAUUAUUUCCCCAGUUGUCCUUGGCUACAUUAUUUAAGUGUCAACAAAGGACCUCAAAGUUUCUUCUGUAUUAUCAGCUCUUCACCUUUUCCAAACACUUAGCUACUUUUGUGGGAUAUUUAUAAUCAGAUAACAACAGGAACAAUGUCUGUAGUUAGAGUACUUGUAGUGUAAAGGAAAAUGCAGACUCACUGGUUUUCGAGAGUGACAGCACUUGACCCGAAACUUCAA